AGGGCAAGUGAAGCUGAGGGCUUAUAUGCCCUCAGUGACACCCACCAAGGGACUUUCUGUGAUGAGACUUGAUCCUGGGUAGACUGAGCAGAUGUCAGGUCCUAGCCAUGGAUGUGGCAUGGAAUGAGCGUUUGUCUCAAAUGCUCCAAAGUCCUGCAAUGUAUGUGGUUCUGUAGCCAGAGAAACCAAGAACAAAAUAGUCCUCAGUGCUGCCGUGGUGGGGGUGUGAGAGGGUAGGCCUGGUUUGAAGAGGAUGUGGUCCAUUUCUCCAGAUUCCUGGAGCCAGUGACAUCCUGUGAAAGCCCAGAAUUCACCAAGUUUGUCAGUGACCACAAGAUUAAUUCCACCCCACAGCAUCUGAAGAAUAAGAUCCCUGGCUUCAGCAAGGGAUACCGAGCACUACGGCGUGUGAUGUCACGGACACACUCGAUAUGUGCCUUGGGGAUCUUCAGUGGCCCCGCUAUACAUUCCAAGGCUUCCCCUGUGCGCAGAAUGCUCUAGCCUCCCUGUAGAUUUAAUUAGUCAGAAGAGCAAAGGAAGCAAUAAGACAGCUGCCGCAGAGGCACCUCCAAACCAAACACAGUGGCUCCACUGACAAGAGACACUCAUUCGCCCAGAGCCUGUGAAGAUCCUUCAGCAAAUCAUCUCUAGCUGGAGCAACAUGCCCCAAGUGGGACCUGGACUUCCCCACAAGCACCGCUGCAGGUGUCCCACUGUAGCAUCCUGUCCCUCUGACUUUCCUGUAGAUGUUCCAGGGAUGCCAUAGCAAGGAUGCACAGCCCAGAGUAGAACAAACUCAUUGCUCACUGAUGUGGAACCCAAAUGUCUGAGUUGGAAACGUUGUUUGCAUCAAGACUCUGAGAAGAAACCUACUCUAGGCCACUUUCUGUGGUUUGUGGGUGGCCAUUCUCCUACUUCUCUCACCCACAUGACCCUUGUCUGACGGAAAUCAUCUAAGUGAAGAAUUCUUUCCUGUCGAGUCACUCGAAGGGUUCAGUCUAUGGUCACUUGGUGACUCCCACUCCUGUUGUGGAGGAGAACAUCGUGGAAGCUGAAAUGUGUGUGUGUCGGGGGUGGGGGGAGUUUCAUGGCAUACAGCCAAAGCUAGAAGUAUGUGAAGAGGCCACGGUAAGCCACGGCCUCCAGGAGUGUGCUCCUAGAUGGUCCAUACAACUGGGCCUCUCACUAAUGCUAUCAUCAGGAAUCCUUCAAUGCAUUAAGCCAUUCACUGAGCAGAGCCCUCAGGAUCUGGUCAGUCCUUGAGAUGCCCUCACAAACACACUAGAGACAUGGCUGGAUGCUUUGUCCUCUCCAUCUCUCAUUGGCAUUGUAAUUUGUGGUGAGGUCUCACUCUGUAACUCAUGCUGGUCUAGAUAGGCAGCUUAGGGCAGCUUUGAGCUUUCAACCAAUCCUCCUGCCUCAGCCUCCUGAGAUCUAAAGUGUAAGCUGCCAUGCCUGGCUCUCAGGUCCUCCUUAGUUCAGUCAAGUUGCCAGUUAAGAGCAUUCACCUUUUCUCUGUGUCUUUUUACACUGUCUUCUCUCCAUGUAUGUUUGCCUGUGUCCAAAAGUCCCCUUCUCAUGAGAACUGAGGUCCUAUUGAAUUAGAUAAGACCUUGCCCUGAUGACUUUCUUAUAACUGGAUUACUGUAAGUGGAUUACAUAGACCCUACUUCCAAAUAAAGCCACACUUAAAAUAUA